AACGAACGCUGGCGGCAUGCCUAAUACAUGCAAGUCGAACGAUCACUUCGGUGGUAGUGGCGCACGGGUGCGUAACGCGUGGGAAUCUACCCUUGAGUUCGGAAUAACAGUUAGAAAUGACUGCUAAUACCGGAUGAUGACGAAAGUCCAAAGAUUUAUCGCCCAAGGAUGAGCCCGCGUAGGAUUAGCUAGUUGGUGAGGUAAAAGCUCACCAAGGCGACGAUCCUUAGCUGGUCUGAGAGGAUGAUCAGCCACACUGGGACUGAGACACGGCCCAGACUCCUACGGGAGGCAGCAGUAGGGAAUAUUGGACAAUGGGGGCAACCCUGAUCCAGCAAUGCCGCGUGAGUGAUGAAGGCCUUAGGGUUGUAAAGCUCUUUUACCCGAGAUGAUAAUGACAGUAUCGGGAGAAUAAGCUCCGGCUAACUCCGUGCCAGCAGCCGCGGUAAAAC
rnacentral:rRNA from 1 species